GGUCAAGAAGAGAAGCGCAAACGGUGGAUGCCUUGGCAGUAAGAGGCGAAGAAGGACGUGGAAUCCUGCGAAAAGCUAUGGGGAGCUGGAAACGAGCGUUGAGCCAUAGAUGUCCGAAUGGGGGAACCCGGCUGCAGCGAUGCGGUCAUUUGCAUUUGAAUACAUAGGAUGCAAAGGCGAACUCGGGGAACUGAAACAUCUAAGUACCCGAAGGAAAAGAAAUCAAGAGAGAUUCUCCAAGUAGCGGCGAGCGAACGGGGAGGAGCCUGGCGUGAUUUAUUAUUGAACUGAGUAGAACAAUUUGGGAAAGUUGGCCGAAGAGGGUGAAAGCCCCGUAUACGAAGGUUUGAUGAGGAACUAGGCACGCGAACAAGUAGGCCGGGACACGUGAAAUCCUGGUUGAAGAUGGGUGGACCAUCAUCCAAGGCUAAAUACUACUUACUGACCGAUAGUGAACCAGUACCGUGAGGGAAAGGUGAAAAGAACCCCGGAGAGGGGAGUGAAAUAGAAUCUGAAACCGUUUGCGUACAAGCAGUGGGAGCAUGGUUUAGGCUGUGUGACUGCGUACCUUUUGUAUAAUGGGUCAGCGAGUUACUUUCAGUGGCGAGGUUAACUGAAUAAGGGAGCCGUAGAGAAAUCGAGUCUGAAUAGGGCGAUAGUCGCUGGGAGUAGACCCGAAACCGGGCGAUCUAGCCAUGUGCAGGAUGAAGGUUGGGUAACACCAACUGGAGGUCCGAACCGGGUAAUGUUGAAAAAUUAUCGGAUGACGUGUGGCUAGGAGUGAAAGGCUAAUCAAGCCCGGAGAUAGCUGGUUCUCCCCGAAAGCUAUUUAGGUAGCGCCUCGUGAAUGAUUACUGGGGGUAGAGCACUGUUUCGGCUAGGGGGCUGUCAUGGCUUACCAAACCGAUGCAAACUCCGAAUACCGGCUAAUUGAAUCACGGGAGACACACGGCGGGUGCUAACGUCCGUCGUGGAGAGGGAAACAACCCAGACCGCCAGCUAAGGUCCCCAAGUACUAGUUAAGUGGGAAACGAUGUGGGAAGGCAUAGACAGCCAGGAGGUUGGCUUAGAAGCAGCCACCCUUUAAAGAAAGCGUAAUAGCUCACUGGUCGAGUCGGCCUGCGCGGAAGAUGUAACGGGGCUAAAACUAGUCACCGAAGCUGCGGAUGUGCGCGAAGGCGCACGUGGUAGGGGAGCGUUCUGUAGGCUGAUGAAGGUGCAUUGAGAAGUGUGCUGGAGGUAUCAGAAGUGCGAAUGCUGACAUGAGUAACGAUAAUGUGGGUGAAAAGCCCACACGCCGGAAGUCCCAGGUUUCCUGCACGACGUUAAUCGGAGCAGGGUGAGUCGGCCCCUAAGGCGAGGCUGAAGAGCGUAGUCGAUGGGAACCAGGUUAAUAUUCCUGGACUUUUUAUAAGUGGUGAAGUGGGGACGAAGAAGGCUAGGUGAGCCAGGCGUUGGUUGUCCUGGUACUUGCAUGUAGGGGGGAAGACUUGGCAAAUCCGGUUUUCCAUAACUCUGAGGUGCGAAGUGGUUCUGACCUUUUGGUACAGAGAAGUCAUUGAUGCCCGGCUUCCAGGAAAAGCUGCUAGCCAUAACUUAUAGAGAACCGUACCGCAAACCGACACAGGUGGACAGGUAGAGAAUACUAAGGCGCUUGAGAGAACUCGGGUGAAGGAACUAGGCAAAAUGGUACCGUAACU
rnacentral:rRNA from 1 species